GAAGAACAAUUUGUUCAACCCGUGUAUAACUCCCCCAAAUUGGAGAACCCAUUUUGCACGAGAACAACUCCGACGUCUUCCAGUGGAAAUUGCAAAAACAAUGUGCUUUAUCUCAUUUAUCACACGUUGUCCGACCAUAUACCUUCAACUUCCAGUGUUGAAGAGGCAUGAAAAUUCUCUUCCCCCGAGUUCCUAAGCCCUGAAAACUCCAUCCCGACGGUUUACUCCGGCUACAAUCGCCAUGCCCGACCAUAGCUUACACCUCCGGUGUUUUCUCAUCUGAACCACACAGUGCAUUUUUGCCAGGGAAGAUCAUACGGAGUCCUGGCCAGAUUCUCCACCUCGGUGUUUGCCCACUAUUUGCUGCUUUGGAAGAUCUGUAUUUGCAAGGAUUAGUGUUGUACAUUUUUCAACAAUGCAAUUCAACGGUGGCUAUUAGUUAAUCCACUAAUGUCAUCAAGCAAGAAUAUUGGUAUAGAAGAGAUACACUUGGUUUUUAUGAAUGCUGAUUUUGGAAGAUUUUCGAAGCUGCGCAUUAUUCUGUCACUUGAUUUUGCUGGAAUCUGAUUUGGAAUCAGUUUUCCAUUUGUUUAUAACCUGUGAAAGUGCUGAAUUUUGGAAAUUUGUUUAUAUUUGUUUGUGAUUGUGUAAGGUGCAAAUAGUGUGAUAUUA